rnacentral:misc_RNA from 1 species
CAGGCCCAAUCUCUCCUAAUUUCUCUACUCCAUCGACGGCGACACCCAGGCGUUUCACUGAAUCGAACAGCGGCAAAACUCUCUUCCUGUAAUGAAUUGGCCGAGAAAGCUCCUCGUCGAGGUCGAUAUUGAUGCUGGUAACGCCAAUCUCCUUGAGGCGGAACCCUAGCUUCUCGCCGACACGGGAUGCCAUUUUGGCGUCCCAGAAGUGGUGGGAUCGCGGGAAGCGGUUGAGCCUGGUGCGGUACUGGGCGAGGAAUUCUUGCUCCGUGGAGGAGGCCAUGGCUAUGAUGGUGGAGGUCGUGGGGUUCGUGACCUGCGCUGUGAUUUUGCGGCACGAGAGGACUAGGCGGAGCAUGUGCUGAUGAUUCGCGGACAUUUUUCCUUGCAGAGAGAGAGAGAGAGAGAGAGAGA